GACGUAGGGUGCAGGCGUUGUCCGGAUUUACUGGGCGUAAAGAGCGCGUAGGCGGCUCGUUAAGUGUGCAGUGGAAUCUCUAGGGCUCAACCCAGAAACUGCUUUACAUACUGGCGAGCUGGAGUGAUGCAGAGGUUUGUGGAAUUCCUGGUGUAGCGGUGAAAUGCGUUGAUAUCAGGAGGAACACCGAUGGCGAAGGCAGCAAACUGGGCAUCAACUGACGCUGAGGCGCGAAAGCGUGGGGAGCGAACAGG
rnacentral:rRNA from 1 species